CAGAACGUGCUCUAAGUCUGAGGAUGCAGAGCAAGUACCUACUGGCAACUAACACACUGGCUUCAGUCUGCUGAAUCUAGUAGAAGAUGCCUUCAUGGAAGUUACUGUGUGAGCAAUGAACAUGAAGCAAAUGCCUGUGGUUUCAAGGCUGAAAUACCAUCAAAAGCCAUAUUCAUGGUCUCCAGGAGCUCCUCCUCCAGUGGGAUGGGCCAUGGCAUGGCUGCGACCAUCAAGAACUUCCUCCAGUCCACGAACUCUGAGUUGACUGUUAAUAAAGAUGUUAUCUCCUGC